GACGAACGCUGGCGGCGUGCUUAACACAUGCAAGUCGAACGGAAAGGCCCAGCUUUUGUGGGGUGCUCGAGUGGCGAACGGGUGAGUAACACGUGAGUAACCUGCCCUUGACUUUGGGAUAACUUCAGGAAACUGGGGCUAAUACCGGAUAGGAGCUCCUGCUGCAUGGUGGGGGUUGGAAAGUUUCGGCGGUUGGGGAUGGACUCGCGGCUUAUCAGCUUGUUGGUGGGGUAGUGGCUUACCAAGGCUUUGACGGGUAGCCGGCCUGGGAGGGUGACCGGCCACAUUGGGACUGAGAUACGGCCCAGACUCCUACGGGAGGCAGCAGUGGGGAAUAUUGCACAAUGGGCGGAAGCCUGAUGCAGCAACGCCGUGUGCGGGAUGACGGCCUUCGGGUUGUAAACCGCUUUCGCCUGUGACGAAGCGUGAGUGACGGUAAUGGGUAAAGAAGCACCGGCUAACUACGUG
rnacentral:rRNA from 1 species